rnacentral:lncRNA from 1 species
GAGGGGUCCGGGUUGUACUUGCAUAACAUGAACACAUAAAACACAUUAUAAACUCUGAAUAGUUCUGAAGGUAGUGCUAGUUUAUAGACGGCCAUACCAAUUUUGUUUAAAAUUUCGAAUGGCCCAAUAAACUAUGGAUUUAGUUUUCCCCUCUUGCCAAACCUACUGAUUCCCUUGAAAUGAGUGACCUUAAAGAACACUCGAUCGCCUUUAUCAAAUUUCAAAUCCCUCUUCCGGGUGUCCGCAUAACUCUUCUGCCUGCUUUGGACCGUCUGGAU